rnacentral:tRNA from 1 species
GCCCACCUGGCGGAAUCGGUAGACGCGCUGGAUUUAGGUUCCAGUGGCUCAGGUCGUGGGGGUUCGAGUCCCCCGGUGGGCA